GAUGAACGCUGGCGGCGUGCUUAACACAUGCAAGUCGAACGGAAAGGCCCAAUCUUGCUUGGGUACUCGAGUGUCGAACGGGUGAGUAACACGUGGGUGAUCUGCCCUGCACUUCGGGAUAAGCCUGGGAAACUGGGUCUAAUACCGGAUGGGACCACAUUUUGUACGGGGCGGUGGAAAGCUUUUCGGGGCGGGGUGGGCUCGCGCCGUAUGAGCUGGUGGGGGGGGUAAUGGCCAACCAAGGCGUCGCCGGGUAGCCGGCCUGAGAGGGUGUGCCGCCACCUUGGGGCUGAGAUGCGGCCCAGACUCCUACGGGAGGCAGCAGUGGGGAAUAUUGCACCACGGGCACAAGCCUGAUGCAGUGACGCCGCGUGGAGGAUGACGGCCUUCGGGUUGCAAGCUCCUUUCGCUAGGGACGAAGCGCUAUGUGACGGUACCUGGAGAAGACGCACCGGCUAACUACGUG
rnacentral:rRNA from 1 species